rnacentral:lncRNA from 1 species
UGUGAUGCGUUUUCAGAUUCAUCACUCGACAACUUCCUGUUUACCAAACACUUGUAUGAUUUUACACAUGAUAGCCAAGUUGAAAAUUUUCGUCACAUUUUUCUCAGAAACUACAAUACAAGGAUUUCUGAAAUUUGGUUUCAGGAUUUAUAUAAGUCAACUAUACCGUGUGAUGCGUUUUCAGAUUCAUCACUCGACUACUUCCUGUUUACCG